AAUCAACGCUGGCGGCGUGCCUCAGACAUGCAAGUCGAACGCUGCUGUUCGCCUUCGGGUGGACAGCGGAGUGGCGCACGGGUGAGUAACACGUAGGUAAUCUACCUUUGGGUGGGAAUAACAGCCGGAAACGGCUGCUAAUACCGCAUAAUGCAGCGGCAUCACAUGAUGACAGUUGUUAAAGCGAGGGAUCGUAAGACCUCGCGCCUGAAGAGGAGCCUGCGGCAGAUUAGGUAGUUGGUGAGGUAAUGGCUCACCAAGCCUGCGAUCUGUAACCGGCCUGAGAGGGCGGGUCGGUCACACUGACACUGACAUACGGGUC
rnacentral:rRNA from 1 species